rnacentral:rRNA from 1 species
AACCUGCCCUUGAAGUAGGGGAUAACACUUGGAAACAGGUGCUAAUACCGUAUAACAACCCAAACCACCUGGUUUUGGUUUAAAAGAUGGCUUCGGCUAUCGCUUUAGGAUGGACCCGCGGCGUAUUAGCUUGUUGGUAAGGUAACGGCCUACCAAGGCAAUGAUACGUAGCCGACCUGAGAGGGUAAUCGGCCACAUUGGGACUGAGACACGGCCCAAACUCCUACGGGAGGCAGCAGUAGGGAAUCUUCCACAAUGGACGCAAGUCUGAUGGAGCAACGCCGCGUGAGUGAAGAAGGCUUUCGGGUCGUAAAACUCUGUUGUUGGAGAAGAAUGGUCGGCAGAGUAACUGUUGUCGGCGUGACGGUAUCCAACCAGAAAGCCACGGCUAACUACGUGCCAGCAGCCGCGGUAAUACGUAGGUGGCAAGCGUUAUCCGGAUUUAUUGGGCGUAAAGCGAGCGCAGGCGGUUUUUUAAGUCUGAUGUGAAAGCCCUCGGCUUAACCGAGGAAGCGCAUCGGAAACUGGGAAACUUGAGUGCAGAAGAGGACAGUGGAACUCCAUGUGUAGCGGUGAAAUGCGUAGAUAUAUGGAAGAACACCAGUGGCGAAGGCGGCUGUCUGGUCUGUAACUGACGCUG